rnacentral:lncRNA from 1 species
UUUCAAGGAGAUCUUUGAGAAGAAAAUCUUCUUUCAGAGAAGAUCUUUGCAUUAUCAGGGGGUGAGGAAAAGUAGCAUUGUAAGCUUUACCACAAAGCAGAGUUCAAUACACUAUGUUGAGGCUUUUUGCUGGGAACAGGGUGUGUGCGGGCUGAAAAGCACUGAGGAGGAACUGAGGCCAUGGCUGAUCCAGGAGGGUGCCCAGAGCAGCUCUGCAGGCGAGGUUAGUGCCUUCGCUUCUCUGUCAUCACCAGUCCCUGAGAGCAAUCACCACCCACCAACAGUUCCUCAAGAUAAGACUGAGCCAGCUGGGAGAAGAAAGCCUUUGAUAUUUCGCUGCCUCGCUGACUCACGUCUCAGAGUGGACCAGCAGAGGUGACUGGGCAUAUAAGAAUAACACUGGACAGAAGGUUUGACUUGGACAAAGUGGCUGCAUGCUUCUCUCUUUCCUUGUCCCAUUGGAAGUACAACAUUGCUGAGAAACAACUGAAGUUUAUAGGUAUUUCAAUAUUAGUCUUCACCUUUCGUGUCCCUUGCUGCUGCCCAUCAGCAUGUACAUUUUAGUUUUCUUUCAGCCUUUUCAUAUGAACUUCUUUGAAGUUCUGUAUGACUUAGAAUAACUCUUGGGAUAUAUGUUUUGUCUUGUAAAGUUUCCUGGCAAACUGCUAGUCUGCACCAGCUAAAGCUCCCGGCAACUGGCCAUCUGAAGCUUUACUCCAAAUAGGAACGGCUGUAACUAGGUUUCUUUAAAAUAAACCUCAGGGAACCAGGUAACUGAAGGGAUUU